AGAGUUUGAUCCUGGCUCAGAUUGAACGCUGGCGGCAUGCCUUACACAUGCAAGUCGAACGGCAGCACGGAGCUUGCUCUGGUGGCGAGUGGCGAACGGGUGAGUAAUAUAUCGGAACGUACCCUAGAGUGGGGGAUAACGUAGCGAAAGUUACGCUAAUACCGCAUACGAUCUAAGGAUGAAAGUGGGGGAUCGCAAGACCUCAUGCUCGUGGAGCGGCCGAUAUCUGAUUAGCUAGUUGGUAGGGCAAAAGCCUACCAAGGCAUCGAUCAGUAGCUGGUCUGAGAGGACGACCAGCCACACUGGAGCUGAGACACGGUCCAGACUCCUACGGGAGGCAGUAGUGGGGAAUUUUGGACAAUGGGCGAAAGCCUGAUCCAGCAAUGCCGCGUGAGUGAAGAAGGCCUUCGGGUUGUAAAGCUCUUUUGUCAGGGAAGAAACGGUGAAGGCUAAUAUCCUUUGCUAAUGACGGUACCUGAAGAAUAAGCACCGGCUAACUACGUGCCAGCAGCCGCGGUAAUACGUAGGGUGCAAGCGUUAAUCGGAAUUACUGGGCGUAAAGCGUGCGCAGGCGGUUUUGUAAGUCUGAUGUGAAAUCCCCGGGCUCAACCUGGGAAUUGCAUUGGAGACUGCAAGGCUAGAAUCUGGCAGAGGGGGGUAGAAUUCCACGUGUAGCAGUGAAAUGCGUAGAUAUGUGGAGGAACACCGAUGGCGAAAGCAGCCCCCUGGGUCAAGAUUGACGCUCAUGCACGAAAGCGUGGGGAGCAAACAGGAUUAGAUACCCUGGUAGUCCACGCCCUAAACGAUGUCUACUAGUUGUCGGGU
rnacentral:rRNA from 1 species